CCCUGCCAUUUGUACACACCGCCCGUCGCUACUACCGAUUGAAUGGCUUAGUGAGCUCUUUGGACUGUUGCACCUCGUUGGUAACUUCGUUGUGCAUACGGGAAGAAGAUCAAACUUGAUCAUUUAGA
rnacentral:rRNA from 1 species